UGGCUCAGAACGAACGCUGGCGGCAUGCCUAAUACAUGCAAGUCGAACGCCUGGAGCGAUCCAGGAGUGGCGGACGGGUGAGUAACGCGUGGGAACCUGCCCUUGAGUGCGGGAUAACCGAGGGAAACUUCGGCUAAUACCGCAUGCGCCCGGAGCAAUCCGGGGAAAGAUUUAUCGCUUAAGGAGGGGCCCGCGUCGGAUUAGCUAGUUGGUGGGGUAACGGCCUACCAAGGCGAUGGUCAAUAGCUGGUCUGAGAGGAUGAUCAGCCACACUGGGACUGUUUCUCGGCCCAGACGACUACGGGAGGCAGCA
rnacentral:rRNA from 1 species